UGUUUUUUUUUUUUUUUUGUUUGUGUGUGUGUGUGUGUGACUACUGUUUCUAGUAUAGAGAAAGCAUAAUGCUUUCCUUUUCUCUUUAUGUCCCUCGCAAAGAUUGAACUAUUCGUCACUUGGUUUUUAAUGCUAAUACUCCAUGCUCAAGGGCGUAUUGCUCAUGCAUUAAACUAAAAUAGGGGAAAUAUUUAUCAAAAACUUUUUUCUGGGAGCUUCUUGUUGGUGGCUUAACAUCUGUUGCAAAAUUAUCAUUCAUCAACUUUGAUACUCUGACACUUCAUUUUGCCCCGUCGUUCCUGUGUCAACGUGACAUGACAUGGAAUAUGUGUCCUACACAUAUUCAUGCGGUUGAAACUUGAGUUACAGAGAUCUCUUAGGAUGAAAAGCAUAUGGAAUUAAAGGAUAGGUAAAAAACA
rnacentral:misc_RNA from 1 species